rnacentral:rRNA from 1 species
UACGGAGGGAGCUAGCGUUAUUCGGAAUUCCUGGGCGUAAAGCGCACGUAGGCGGCUUUGUAAGUUAGAGGUGAAAGCCUGGAGCUCAACUCCAGAAUUGCCUUUAAGACUGCAUCGCUUGAAUCCAGGAGAGGUGAGUGGAAUUCCGAGUGUAGAGGUGAAAUUCGUAGAUAUUCGGAAGAACACCAGUGGCGAAGGCGGCUCACUGGACUGGUAUUGACGCUGAGGUGCGAAAGCGUGGGGAGCAAACAGG